rnacentral:ncRNA from 1 species
AAAAAGUCGUUGAACAAAAUAGUACAUUUGGCACGUACAUCACAGAGAGUCAGAGCAGGUGUGAACUGAUAUGGAAGGCUUUAUGGAAUGGGUUUGGGAGAUGCGUAGGUGAAUAUAUAAGUAGCUUACGACGUGGCCUCACGUUACAGGGGAAAGAUAUUAUAUACCGGUAGGUAUUAAGUAUCGGAAUGAGACAAGAUUUGUUUUUGUAAACGGUGGCAUAUCCAGUUUGGAUAUGUCUUUUUUUUAUACAGACAUCAGAGCGGAUGUCAAUGUAUAGACUACAUUUUCAAUCUUGUGAAUAAGGGUGGCACCACGUUAAGUGAAUAAGGAUGGCACCACGUUAAUUCGUCCCUGGC